rnacentral:rRNA from 1 species
AACGAACGCUGGCGGCAUGCCUAACACAUGCAAGUCGAACGGACCCUUCGGGGUUAGUGGCGCACGGGUGCGUAACGCGUGGGAAUCUGCCCUGGGGUACGGAAUAACGCUUCGAAAGGAGUGCUAAUACCGUAUGAUGUCUUCGGACCAAAGAUUUAUUGCCCUGGGAUGAGCCCGCGUUGGAUUAGCUAGUUGGAGAGGUAAAGGCUCACCAAGGCGACGAUCCAUAGCUGGUCUGAGAGGAUGAUCAGCCACACUGGGACUGAGACACGGCCCAGACUCCUACGGGAGGCAGCAUUGGGGAAUAUUGGACAAUGGGCGAAAGCCUGAUCCAGCAAUGCCGCGUGAGUGAUGAAGGCCUUAGGGUUGUAAAGCUCUUUUACCCGGGAAGAUAAUGACUGUACCGGGAGAAUAAGCCCCGGCUAACUCCGUGCCAGCCGCCGCGGUAAGAC